ensembl:lncRNA
CAGAGGUCUAGCUCCGGGGGUCGGGAUCCUCUAGAGAACGGAGGGGAGGUCGUGGUUAGAAUAUGUGAUUCGGUCCGGAGUCGAGGCAGAAGGUAAAGGCUGGAGAGAGACAGUGUGGUCCAGGGGAGGCAGAAGGUAAAGGCUGGAGAGAGACAGUGUGGUCCAGGGGAGGCAGAAGGUAAAGGCUGGAGAGAGACAGUGUGGUCCAGGGGAGGCAGAAGGUAAAGGCUGGAGAGAGACAGUGUGGUCCAGAGUGGAGGUAGAAGGUAAAGGCUGGUGAGUGAGUAUGUGUGUGUGUGUGUGUGUGUGUGUGUGUGUGUGUGUGUGUGUGUGUGUGUGUGUGUGGGGGG